rnacentral:rRNA from 1 species
UACGAAGGGGGCUAGCGUUGUUCGGAAUUACUGGGCGUAAAGCGUGCGCAGGCGGCCUUCCAAGUCAGGGGUGAAAGCCCAGAGCUCAACUCUGGAAUUGCCUUUGAGACUGUGAGGCUUGAGUACGGGAGAGGUGAGUGGAAUUCCCAGUGUAGAGGUGAAAUUCGUAGAUAUUGGGAAGAACACCGGUGGCGAAGGCGGCUCUCUGGACCGUAACUGACGCUGAGGCGCGAAAGCGUGGGGAGCAAACAGG